rnacentral:pre_miRNA from 1 species
UUCUUUAUUGUGUCUAGAACAUAAGUGGUACACUAUGUGUCGUUAUAUUAGUACAAACAUCUAGUCAUUCUACAGAACGUUUAGUUAUUUAAGUUGUUAAUUUUUUAACAUUCUCCACUACUUAUAUAGUGACAUGUGGUGUACCAUCCUGUGUUCUAGGCACAUUGAAAA